UACAGAGGGUGCGAGCGUUGUCCGGAAUCACUGGGCGUAAAGGGCGCGUAGGCGGGAUGACAAGUCGGUCGUGAAAUCCCUGGGCUCAACUCAGGGGGGUCGGCCGAUACUGCCAUUCUUGAGGGAUGCAGAGGAGACUGGAAUUCCAGGUGUAGCGGUGAAAUGCGUAGAUAUCUGGAGGAAUACCGGUGGCGAAGGCGGCAUCCUGGACCGACAUUGACGCUGAGGAGCGAAAGCUAGGGGAGCAAACGGG
rnacentral:rRNA from 1 species